UUCAAAGGUGCCUUAUUCCCUCAUUGUUCCC
rnacentral:piRNA from 1 species